AGUGAACGCUGGCGGUAGGCCUAACACAUGCAAGUCGAACGGCAGCACAGUAAGAGCUUGCUCUUACGGGUGGCGAGUGGCGGACGGGUGAGGAAUACAUCGGAAUCUACUUUUUCGUGGGGGAUAACGUAGGGAAACUUACGCUAAUACCGCAUACGACCUACGGGUGAAAGCAGGGGAUCUUCGGACCUUGCGCGAUUGAAUGAGCCGAUGUCGGAUUAGCUAGUUGGCGGGGUAAAGGCCCACCAAGGCGACGAUCCGUAGCUGGUCUGAGAGGAUGAUCAGCCACACUGGAACUGAGACACGGUCCAGACUCCUACGGGAGGCAGCAGUGGGGAAUAUUGGACAAUGGGCGCAAGCCUGAUCCAGCCAUACCGCGUGGGUGAAGAAGGCCUUCGGGUAGUAAAGCCCUUUUGUUGGGAAAGAAAAGCAGCAGGUUAAUACCCCGCUGUUCUGACGGUACCCAAAGAAUAAGCACCGGCUAACUUCGU
rnacentral:rRNA from 1 species